GCCGAAGUGGCGGAAUUGGCAGACGCGCAUGGUUCAGGACCAUGUGGAGGUAACUCCAUGGGGGUUCAAGUCCCCCCUUCGGCA
rnacentral:tRNA from 1 species